ensembl:ncRNA F58G11.10 ncRNA
AGUGCACAGUGGUGAGUGGUGGAAGAGUAACAGAUAAAAAACGACCGAACCGGGGGAGUAGAAGUUGGCGGUGGGAGGAAAAAGAGCAUGCAUAUAACCUCGUCUUGCUCUUUUUCCUUGUAUUCAACCUCUCAACAAGAGGUCAAAUUGUCCAUCGUGGAAAAAUGAAACUCGUUUUCUUUUUUUUUUGGACUUUGACACCUAUAGGUUCUAUGAUUUAUGGUA